CCGCGGGAUUAGAGUUUGAUCCUGGCUCAGAACGAACGCUGGCGGCGUGGAUAAGACAUGCAAGUCGAACGCUGAUUGCGGGGUAGCAAUAUUCCGCAGUCGGAGUGGCGCAAGGGUGCGUAACACGUGGGUAAUUUACCGUGAAGUUUGGGAUAACUUGCUGAAAGGUAAGCUAAUACCAAAUGUGGUCCGAAGGAGGCAUCUCCUUUAGACUGAAGUUGGGGACCGAAAGGCCUGAUGCUUCACGAUAAGCCCGCGGCCUAUCAGCUAGUUGGUGAGGUAACGGCUCACCAAGGCUAAGACGGGUAGCUGGUCUGAGAGGACGACCAGCCACACUGGAACUGAGACACGGUCCAGACACCUACGGGUGGCAGCAGUCGAGAAUUUUUCACAAUGGGCGAAAGCCUGAUGGAGCGACGCCGCGUGGGGGAUGAAUGGCUUCG
rnacentral:rRNA from 1 species